UGUCAUACAAACUCUGAAUAAGAGAUUUUUCUUAUAAUUAAUCUGCAUCUUUACCAUCUUACAUAUUCUUGAGAUUAUAAAGCAUAUUGUCAUGCUCAAAAAUGUGCAAAGAUUAUACUAUAUAACAAAGAAAACACAUUUUUCUCAUUUUUCCCUCUUCCUCUCAGUGAGUUAAAUUUUAUACCAGAGUUAGGAAAGCACUGAAUGUUGGCCUUUAAUUUACAAUUCCGCGAAGUUAUGGAAAUUACUCAAUGAUCCCAGAGAAGUGUAUUCCUUAAUCCUAGUAUUAUGACUUACAACUAUGGGUAGUGUGUUCACGAGGUUCUGGUCAUUGCCAGCUCCUGAUUUCCAUGCUCUGAGUAGCAGAGCGUAUAGCGAAUGAGGAUUCACGUCUUAUGUCUUUUUUCAGUGUCAUGACUUUUCAAACUUAGAAUGGAGAAGGAUACAGAAUCUCUAAUAUCAGAACCAUGAACUACUUCAUCUGUAUCAUCAUUAACCCUAUAUAACAAAUGUGGAAAUUGCGGCUCAAAGAAGUUAAAUGACUUCUUGGAUCCAUAAGCCAAGUAAGCACUAGAGCGAAAUGAUUUACAAAGUAACCCUAAUGCUAACCCUAACCCUAACCCUAACCCAUUAAAACUGAUGCUCAUUCUACUAAUUGUGUUAAUGCUUUUUGUUAAUAUUGACUAAUGUUCUAUUUCAUUAAUGAUCCUGCACUUAAUUAUAAUCUUAUUUAUCUUUAGCAAUAGAAUCAUUAUAUAAUCUUCACACCUACAAUUAUGAUAGAUUCCGAAUCCAUUGUGUGUAAAUGAAGGCAUCCAAAAUAUUUAAAACAGGAGUUCCCUGGUGGCACAGUGGAUUGAGGACCUGGUGUUGUCACCACUGUAGCUCUAGUUGCUUCUGUGGCACAUGUUCAAUCCCUGGCCUAGGAAUUUCCAAAUGCCCCCUGUGUGGCCAAAAAAAAAAAUAUUUAAAACAAAACUAACUUUGAGAUCUCAGGAAAAAUUCUUACAUGAGGCUCUCCUUUGGUGCUAAAGUAUGCUCUCUAAAUGUGCAGCAGGAUUAGAGGCAGACCUGGCAUGAGGUCCUUCCCUCAUCCUGCCAAGUUUUAAAUAAAGAAGUUACCUCUAAAAACUAGUUUGGGAAAAACAGACAGUACCUUAAUUGUUCUUUCUCAAAAAAUUCCUGGAAUUCAAAUUUAAAAGACAAGACAUGGAAAUAUAUGAGCAAACCAAUUUCAGUCCAAGGGGUAGAUAGUAAUCAGUUAAUAAAGGUGAGAUAUUUAUUCUUAGAAAUACCAGUAAGUCAAUGUUUUUUUUUGUUUGGUUUGUUGUUUUUGUUUUUAAAUAGCAUACUAUACAACAUGAGUGGGUAAUCCUCUUCAGAAUGCAAGCUGGAAACAUCCUCAAUUUACAUUAAGUUGUAGAGAUUUGUUAUAAGGAUGUUCACAGUUUCAAACAAAGCCAGAUUUUUUUUUUCCUGUCUUUUUAGUGCCACACAUUCAGCAUAUGGCAGUUGCCCCGCUAGGGGUCGAAUCAGAGCUGUAGCCACCGGCCUAUGCCACAGCCACAGCCACAGCCACACCAGAUCCAAGCUGCAUCCUUGACUUGUGUUGCAGCUUGUGCCAACACUGGAUCCUUAACCCACUGAGCAAAGCCAGGGAUCAAACCUGCGUCCUCAUGGAUACUAGUUGGGUUCUUUACCCACUGAGCCACAACAGAAACUCCAAAGCCAGAUUUUUAUCUCAGCAACAGACUACCUCUUAACUUUUGAGCUUCUCUAUUUUACUCACUGUUUUAGUCUCCAUAGUCCCUGCCCCCAGUAACUCUUUUCUUUUAAAUCCC
ensembl:lncRNA